rnacentral:lncRNA from 1 species
CAUAGAUAGGAAUUAAAUAGGCAAAAUGCACAAAUAUAAUUAGCAAUUAAUUCUACCUCCACGCUGUCUAAAUUAAUUAUAUUACUAAUUAAUCGAAAAAUCGCUUUGGAAUAACACAAUACAAAGUAUAUUAUUUAAUAAAGUUACACUAAAAAAUAGGAUCGGAAGAAAUACAAGCUCUGCUAUAAAAAUUACCAGGAUAAGAUUUGAAGAAAAUUAAGGGGAUAAAAAAAAAAAAGAAGAAGAAGAAGAAGACUCUGUGCAAAUAACAACAGGCCAAGUCGCGAUAUUUUGCUCCGAUUUCAGUUUUCACGUUUUCUCUCUCUCUACGAUACAGAUAUUGGAUUCCGUUCUCUCUCUCCUCUCUCUCUCUCUCUCUGUGUAUAUAGAUACAUAUAAGUAUGUAUGUAAAUGUGAGAAUUAUGUAAUUGUAAAGUGCAGACUCAGAAAAUCGGAGAAAAUAGAGGUUAAUUGUU